AGCUCCAAUAGGAUAUAUCAAAGUUGUUGCAGUUGAAAAGCUCGUAGUCGUAUUUCUGGUGGGUCGAUGCUCCUCGAUUGCCGGCGAAAGCUGGUGACGUUAGGGGCCGCCUGCCAUUUUGUGGGAAUCCGUGGCUAGGUUGUCGUUCACUCGGUGACCUAGUUGCGCCACUCCGUCACUGAGAGCAAAUUGGAGUGCUCAAAGCAGGCUUUACAGCUUUGAACAUCUUAGCUUGGAAUGACAAAGUAUGACUUUUUGUUCACUUUGUUGGUUAUGAAUGAGAAGUAAUGAUAAAUAGGAACAGUUGCGGGGGUACUCGUACUGGAAAGUCAGAGGUGAAAUUCUUGGAUUUUUCCAUGACGAACGACUGCGAAAGCAUUUACCAAGGAUGUUUUCAUUG
rnacentral:rRNA from 1 species